UACGUAGGUGGCAAGCGUUGUCCGGAAUUAUUGGGCGUAAAGCGCGCGCAGGUGGUUUCUUAAGUCUGAUGUGAAAGCCCCCGGCUCAACCGGGGAGGGUCAUUGGAAACUGGGAGACUUGAGUGCAGAAGAGAAGAGUGGAAUUCCACGUGUAGCGGUGAAAUGCGUAGAGAUGUGGAGGAACACCAGUGGCGAAGGCGACUCUUUGGUCUGUAACUGACGCUGAGGCGCGAAAGCGUGGGGAGCAAACAGG
rnacentral:rRNA from 1 species